UUCAAACUUUCAAACCCUAUGAAAUUGGUGGGCUCAAGCCAAGAUCUCCAGGGGAUAAAAGAAAUCAGGUAACGUCUUGGUUUGGGGGGUGGUGGAAUAGAACAUUGACUGAGAUCUCCCUCUGACAGGUUGAGCAGGUGGAGUCUGAAGGAGGAUCCAGAAGGCCCAGAGGGUGGAGGGAUCUGCAGGGCAGGGUGGUGGGGGAGGGGCUGUGGUUCAGCCUCCUCCUCUCAGCAUCCCCCACCCUCAGGAGCCCUUUGUGAUGAGGCCCACAGCUCUGUGAUGCAGGCCUGGGCCUUAGUCAAGACACCCAAGGGAAACUCCCAGAGCUCAGUUGCUUUAUGGCAACAGUGCGAUUCAGAAGAUGGAGAAUAAUCUCCUGCCUCUGAAAAGCAUUAGUCCCCCAUGGAUGGGCACCAGAUGCACUUCCUUGGUGUCCAAUAUCUUCCCGGUCUUUAUUUUUGGAAUGGGGCUCUUUCUCCUGUUCAUACUCUGCCGCCAGAGUAACCCAUCCUCACCACGGCCUGGGCAGCAAAGAAGCAUCAGGAAGGUGACUGAGGACUGGUCCCAGCCCCUCAGUCUUGUCUCUCAGCACCCAGUGGAGAUGACAGGGAGGCCCAAGAGCAGGGACAACAGCAGCUCUCUGAUAGGUAAGGCUCUGCCACUCUGCCUGGAGCCCCUGGGGGCGCUUAGCUUCACUGUCCCUGAGGGAGGAGCCUCUGAGGAGGUCAGCUGCAGUGGCCUGGACAGGUGGGGAGGCUCCUGGGAAGGGAAUCAGAACCCAAGCUUCUUCUCAGAUCCCUUGCUGGGAAGGAGGCCAGGUGGGCCAGGAAGGGGUGCUGCCCAGGAGGGCGUGGAGGGGGCAGGGGACCCAUAACAACCUGGAUGUGGAGGUGGGGUCCCAGGCCCAACUGUGGACAGCGGCUUGACCUGGCUAAGGCUGUCUCCUCUCUGAGGGGACCCCUGUCUUCUCCCCCACAGGGAGCAUGUGAGGACCCUGAGGGAUGGAGGUGGGAGCAGUGCAUAUAUGAUAAAGCACUGCCCACUGCACUUCCUGCUGGGGUCAGGUGGCCUUGGACACUGAUGUGUGCUCCAGGGCCUCAACCCCCAUGGUCUGCCCCAGAGGGACAUUAAGCCACUUACAAGAUCCCAAGGCCCCUCCCUCGCCCUGGAACUCAGCUCCUGAUUUCCAGCAUGCAGAGACUGCCUGAGGGAACUGCAGGCCGCUCGGGACCUGACUUUGCUUCUGCAGAGCUGCCAGGUGAAGCUCCCUGACAAGGGGGGCUCUCAUCAGCUCUCAUGCCCAGACCCCCCUGGGGAGGAGUGCAACCCAGUAUCUGCCAGUGCCCACUGGCCACGUGCAGAGCGUGUGCAAGAUGCUUCUCCUGCCACCUCGUCCCCAUUGGCAUCCCCAGCUCCCUUGACCGAGCACCCUCCGCCUGUGGCCUCCAUGCUGUCAGUACAACCUCAAGGAGACCAAUCUGACUUGAAGAAAUCCCCCCCAGGCACCGUCCCAAAGAGCUCACCUCCAGGUUACUCUUGUUUGGUGCCUGCCAUGUGGGCCAUCUCAGGCCUUGAACGCACCAUUUUGUUCCUCUCCUGGUGGUGGGCAGCCGCCAAGGCCCUGUUCUCCCCCACCUGCCACCCUGCAAGUCCCAGAAGAGCCUCUUUGCCACCAUCCACCAGAGGCUUGGUUCUGGGGAGACCCCACAUAUAGGCAGAUGGAGGCUGGUGGCCCCACUUUCCUCAACCCUGAUGUCUGGAAGCUCCUGGAAAUAUUCAUCAUUGAGGGAGCAGCAUUGAAGCUGGGGAAGGAGAAAGAAAAGGGUCACUUCUGAAACAAAUGAGGCCAGACUCCCCCUGGGGUUCUCUGGAGAAUAUAUUAAAGUCACUGGGUGAGGAGCAGGACGACAAAACCCCAUGCCCCUUCUGGAACAUGCAAGACAAACCAGAGCAGCUGUCUGGUCCUCAGGGAGAAUUCUCAGGGAGGGGUCCUUGUGGGGCAGAAGACAAGCACGGGGCCUUCCUACCCUCCCAGCCUCCUGAGUCUGCAGGUGAAAGCAUCGAGAGUAAACAGAAGAUGGGGUCCAGGCACUCUGGAAAAUUCUCUUGGAAGGGCUCCCUAGGGGCCAAAGAGAAGAGGACCCAAGUGGGGAUCUAAGAGCAAGAUCUGGAGAGAUUCCAGAAGAUCCAUGCAUAGGUUCAAGAAAUACCUCAGUGAAGGUUCUGGAGGAGGAGGGGGAGGCAGAUGGUGACUUGAUUGGGCCCCAGGAGUAUAAAUCAGGAAAUAACUUUCCCAGGGGCCCACAGAAGCAGCAGCUUGAGAAAACUCUGAAAUCUCACGUGGAGCGGAAGCUGGGGGAGAUCCGUGAGGGCAUGGUCCCUGUGCGUGUGCAGCGGUCCUGGCUUAGCGCCAGCCAUGCCGUUGCAAAGUCUGACGCCCUCACAAAACCCAGAAACCUGGGACCCCAGAGGGGUCAGAAAUGCUGUAUGAACACACCCCAGGGGCUUUCCUCCCUCGAUCCCGGCACUCAACAGACGCUACAAGUACAUAUUAUAUGGUUUUGGGUGAGGCACAGGUGGGGUUCCAACCUCCAGUCCUGGGAGCCCAUAAAUCUCCCAUAAUAAACUGGAUACAUGCAGAGAAAACCUGUUUCUCAUGUUAGCACAUCCUCUAUAUGCUAAUGGUUUCCAUUACUUCCCAAUAGAUGUGUUUUUUGUCAUCAGAGGAGGUGGCUUCUGUCCAUGGGGUGCUGGGACACAGGGAAGGGGUCAGAGUCCACUCUCCCUUAGUGCAGCUUCUAGAAGGCAGGGGCAUGGAGGAGGCUGACAGGGCCUUGCAGACCCACCCUCACCCUGGGGUCACUCACUGUACUUUGUUUUCAUAACCCAGUCAUUAAAAAGAGCCUUCAGAACUGGCAGGACUGGCAAACCCUAUGGAGACUCCACCCCGGGACCUGGCUCACCUUGUCUUUCUCCACUUUACCUCUGCUGCAAGCUCUGUGCAGCUUAUGGAAGAAAUACCCCUCAGGCUCCAGGAAUGCGCGGACUCACAGGCUCUGAAGUAGGCUGGGAAGUUUUGGGACUGGGGGUGCUGGCCUUGGGUUCAGUGGAGAGAUUUGGUCCCCAUGGUUUUAUGGUGGGGAUCAGAGGACCCUUCACAGCCCCUGCUUGUGCAGAAAUGGGCUCUGCCAGCCCCUCUGGGCUCCGCCUUGGUGACAGGAGCAUGCCCCUCCUGGCCUGAUCCUUUGAGAGCUGUGGCCAAGACAGGACCAGUGUGACUUGGUACAGAAGGAGGUGUCAGGGUCGCAGCCACCCUCCAAGGCCACCCACCUCCCCCUCUAGUGUGACUGCAUGCACAGGAGCCAUCUGGCGGUGGCACUUGGAGGACGAGGCUGGAGUGUGGGAGAAGAGUUGGAGAGGUGGGAGCCGGGCAGGCAGCAGAGCGCAUACACACCCUAAGCGGUGCCCGACGGCGCACCUGCAGGCCAAGGUGGUUGGGCAGCGGCCUCAUGGUGAGGGGCCGGACUAGGGGGCACAAAGCUGUUGCAGGAAGGUGGCUUUUCCCACUGCAUACGUGACCAGCCUAUACCAUCACCUCUGGAAUUCCAGAGAGGACAACUGGAUGACCAGCAGGAAAGCCAGUUCUCAGUACCUAUGGAAUCACAGCCUGGUGACUGUUACAGACACAUGGCCCCAGGGUUGCCGGGGGUGGGGAGUGAAGCCUGGUGGAGCAGGCCAGCGCUCAGGCUGCUCCUGGAGCUGGUCCUAUCUCGGCCAGGGAUGGGGCCGUCUCCAGGGGCCCAGCAGCAAGGGGGGCCAGGACCCCGGGAGGACUGGGGCUGAUCAGUGAUGUCAAAGAGAGACACCCACAGGGAAACCCCCAUGGAGACCUCUGACAGAUGCAUACACACAAAGACCUCUGACAGAGACGCAAAGAGAUCUUUGAGAGAUCUCCACAAAGACAAUGACAGAGACAUCUGACAGAGACCCCUCCACCAAAAUUCCCCCAGAGAUGUCUGACAGAAACCCCUACAGAGACCUCUGACAGAGCCCAGAAAGAGAACUCUGACAGAGACAGGUACAGAGCCCUCUGAGACCCCCACUGAGAGACUUCUCCAGAAACCUCUGACAGAGAUCUGCACAAAGACCUCAGCAAGAGACCCCCACAGAGACCUCUGAUAGAGACCCACACAGAGACCUCAGAGAUCUCUGAAAAUGACCAACAUUGAGAGGCCCCACAGAGAUACCUGGCAGAAACCCCCACAGGACCUCUGACAAAGUCCCCCAUAGAUAACUCUGAUAGUGACACAAACAGUGACAUAACAGAGACCCCUAAAGAGACCUACAGAGAGCUCUGACAGAGAUACAGAGACUUCCAGAGACCUCUGACAGAGACCCCCACACAAACCACUGACAGAAAUCCCCACAGAGAAUUCUGGCAGAGACCUCACAGGGAUCUAUGACAGAGUUCCCCACAGAGUCCUCCA